GCUAAUAAAGAGAUGUUCUAGAUUUCCACACAUUCAGUGAUGGAAUGUAAUUCUAAAAGUAUUUGGGCUGUCAAUUGCAGAUUUGAGUACUUGCAGUGUUGUCUUAAAAUGGAUACCUUGAAAUGUCUUAAGCCCUCUGCAGGAACUUCUAGAGGGACACACUCUGAGGAUUGUAGAAUUGAUGGCAGACUGUUGGACAACCCAAGAGGUUCUCCCAAUUCUGGCAGCAAACCUAAGCAGAGUAUUUGGGAUAGGAAGGAAGUUCCUCGAAAGGUUGCAAUUGUUCAUCCCAGAUGUAUAUCAGAGAGUGAUGUAAAUCCAUCUGUCAGACAGGCUCAACGGCAGGCAGUGGUUGAACAAGGCGAGGCAAGUACCAUUCAGCUUGAAGAGGGCACCACAGUGAGGAAUGUCUUCAGGUCCCGUGACAGUUUGAACAACAGAGAAAACCUGAGGAUGACCAUCAUGCCUCAGCAAACCCGUAUUCCAAGAGAAGUCAUGAGUCCAGAGCAGAGGGCCUUACAUUAUUUGAGUGACUCUGAAUCAGAUUCAGAUUCAGACUUAGAACUUUUGUGGGAGAUUUGUGAGUUAUAUGACAGAUAUCUCGCAAGUGAAUCUGACUCUAGUUCCUCUAGUAGUUUGACCUCUAGUUCAAGAUCCAGUUCUAGCUCGAGCUCAAGUUCAUCCAGCUCUUCCUCUAGCUCAGAGUCAGAGUCAUAGUUCUAUUUCUGAAUCACUUUUCCUGAGCAAUUGAUUAAAUCGUCCUUUAAAACUGAUCAAUAACACAUUUUCUCUCAAUAAACAAUUUCUGUUUAA